rnacentral:rRNA from 1 species
AUUGAACGCUGGCGGCAGGCCUAACACAUGCAAGUCGAGCGUGCGGCGGACGGGUGAGUAAUGUAUGGGGACUGCCCGAUAGAGGGGGAUAACUACUGGAAACGGUAGCUAAUACCGCAUACUAUCGGAUAACCCAUAUUGGAUUAGCUAGUUGGUGAGGUAUUGGCUAACCAAGGCGACGAUCCCUAGCUGGUCUGAGAGGAUGAUCAGCCACACUGGGACGGAGACACGGCCCAGACUCCUACGGAGGCAGCAGUGGGGAAUAUUUGACAAUGGGCGAAAGCCUGAUGCAGCAAUGCCGCGUGUAUGAAGAAGGCCCUAGGGUUGUAAAGUUCUUUCAUUCGGGAGGCGUUACCGACAGAGAAAGCACCGGCUAACUCCGUGCCAGCAGCCGCGGUAAUUC